GAUGAACGCUGGCGGCGUGCCUAAUACAUGCGAGUCGAGCGAACAGACGAGGAGCUUGCUCCUCUGACGUUAACGGCGGAAGUGUGAGUAACACGUGGAUAACCUACCUAUAAGACUGGGAUAACUUCGGGAAACCGGAGCUAAUACCGGAUAAUAUAUUGAACCGCAUGGUUCAAUAGUGAAAGACGGUUUUGCUGUACCUUCUAGAUGGAUCCGCGCCGCAUUAGCUAGUUGGUAAGGUAACGGCUUACCAAGGCAACGAUGCGUAGCCGACCUGAGAGGGUGAACGGCGACACUGGAGCUGAGACGCGGUCCAGAGUCCUACGGGAGGCACCAGUAGGGAAGGUUGCGCAAUGGGCGAAAGCCUGACGGAGCAGCGCCGCGUGGGUGAUGAAGGGCUGCGGGUCGGAAAACUCUGUUAGGGGGGAAGAACAAAUGUGGAAGGAACGAUGCAUGUCUUGACGGUACCUAAUCAGAAAGCAACGGCUAACUACGUG
rnacentral:rRNA from 1 species